CUUCAGGCAUCCACUGUGGGUCUUGGAGCUGCAACCCCCCGAGAAGGGGCGGACUGUCUGUAAAUCUCCGCUGGCCUUCGGAGUGGUCUGUACCGUGACCAGUGCAGGGGGUGGUCUUAAAACGGUGGAUGGUAACAGCCGCAGAGACCACCUUGCUAGAAAAUCCCGUGACAAGCUUCCGGGAGGUGUGAAACACAGAGUGGAAGGCCAGACUGCAAGCCACAGUCCACCGGAGGAGAGGACCCCCCGGACCCCCCGAGAGCAAGGCUCAGUCACAAAUGGCUUAGCCUCAGCCUUUUGUCCACACGCCCGGGACCAGCCGUCCUGUGGGAGGGUUUCACAACGCCUUCCGGGGUCGGUUACAAAAUUGCCUUACGGCAAAUCAGUUUUGCGGCAAAGACGCUUACGGCGGAGAUGCUCCUGGCGAAACACCAGACGUGCCAAGAAAUCCUGCCUUAAGGAGGCUGCAACAUGCCGCUUGGCUUGGCUUUCAUCUUGCCCAGCUGCUUACCAAAGCCUUCCUCUUUCCUCUUCGAGGCCUUUAAUUGGCAGGGCUGAGCCCAGAGAACCACCUCAGGAGAUGGCCGAAGCCUGGCUUGAAUCCGGCCUCCCCAGCUCCUCCCUACCCGUCACUGAAGUCGGCUCCAUCCUGAGCUGGAGGACCCGCAACCUACCACCAGUGGAACCUACAGGUGACUAGCCAAUCCAGAGGGUGCUCAUUUGAGAAUGAAGACUUCCCACGUGAUUUCUGAUCUUGUCACAGUUUGAUGAUUACUACAUCAACAUUUCUACUUUCCUCGGGUUUUUAUAAAAUUGCCUCCCUAAUCCCUGCCUGAGACACAACAAUAUUGAAAUUAGGCCAAUUAAUAACCAUGUGUUCAAGUCUCUCACUUUAAGUCCGAAGCUAGAAAUGGUUAAGCUUAGUGAAGAAAGCAUGUCAAAAGUGGAGAUAGGCCAAAAGCGAGGCUUCUGGCACCAAACAGUUAAGCUAAGUUGUGAAUGCAAAACAAAAGUUCUUGAAGGAAAUUCAAGGUGCUACUCCAGGGAAUGCACAAAUGAUAAGAAAGUGAAAUAGCCUUAUUGCUGAUACGGAGAAAGUUUUAGUGUUCUGGAUAGAGGAUCAAACCAGCCACACCAUUCCCUUAUGCCAAAGCCUAAUCCGGAGCACAGUCCUAACCCCCUUCAAUUCUACGAAGGCUGGAUGUGGUGAGGAAGCUAUAGAAGAAAAGUUUGAAGCUAGCAGAGGUUGGUGCAUGAGGUGUCCAGGAAAGAAGCUAUCUCUGUAACAUUAAAAGGCAAGGUAAAGCAGCUAGUGCUGAUAAAGAAGCUGCAGUGAGUUAUCUGGAAGCUAUAGCUCAGAUUAGUCAUGAAGGUGGCUACACUAAACAGACUUUCAGUGUAGAUGAAACAAUCUUCUAUUGGAAGAAGCUGUCACCUAGGACUUUCAUAGCUACAGAAGAGAAGUCAAUGCCUGGCCUCAAAGCUUCAAAGGACAGACUGACUUUCUUGUUAGGGUCAAAUGCAGCUGGUGACUUUGAGUUAAAGUCAUUGCUCUUGGAACAUUCUGAAAAUCCUGGGGCCCUUAGGAAUUAGGCCCAGUCUACUCUGCCUGUGCUCAAACAAGGGAACAACAAAGCCCGGGUGAUAGCAUAUCUGUUCGCAACCUGAUUUAUGAAUAUUUUAAGAAUAUUUGAGCCCUACUGUUGAGAAAAAAGAUUCCUUUCAAAAUCUUACUGCUCUUGACAAUGCACCUGGUCACCCAAGAGCUCAGAUGGAGAUGUACAACGAGAUGACUGCUGUUUUCAUGCCUGCUGACACAGCAUCCGUUCUGCAACCCACGGAUCAAGGAAUAAUUUCAACUCUCAAGUCUCAUUUAAGAAACACAUUGUAAAACUAUAGCUGCCACACGUAGUGAUUCCUCUGAUGGAUUUGGGCAACAUCAACUGAAAACCUCUGGAAAGAACUUGCCAUUCUAGAUGCCAUUAAUAAUAGAAAUCAAUAAAAAUAACAAUAAAGAAGUCAAAAUAUCCACAUUAACAAGAGUUUGGAAGAAGCUGAUUUUGACCCUCAUGGAUGACGUUUGAGGAGAGACUUCAGUGGAGGAGGUAACUGCAGAUUGGUGGAAAAGCUAGAGAACAAGAAUGAGAAGCGGAGCCUGAAGAUGGGACUGAAUUGCUACAGUCUCAUGAUAAAACUGUAACAGAUGAGGAGUUGCUUCCUGAGAAGAAGAAAAAAGGGCUUUCUUGAGAUGGAAUCUGUUCCUGGUGCAGGGACUAUGAGGAUGGUUGCAACGACAACAGAGGAUUUAGAGUAUCACGUAAACUUAGUUGAUAAAGCAGAAGCAGAGUUUGAGAGGAUUGACUCCAAUUUUGAGAAGUUCAUGGUGGGUGAAAUGCUAUCACACAGCAUCGCAUGCUACAGAGAAAUCGUUUGUGGGAAGAAGAGUCCAUGGAUGCAGCAGACGUCAUUGUCUUAUUUUAAAGAAAUUGCCACAGCCACCCCAGCCUUCAGCAACCACCACCUGAUCAGUCAGCAGCCAUCAACAUCGAGGCAAGACCCUCCAGCAGCAAAAAGAUGACUCGCUGGAAGCUCAAAUGACAGUAUUUUUUAGCAAGAAAGUAUUUUUAAAUUAAGAUAUCUGCAGUUUUUUUCCACAUAGUGCUAUUGCAUACUCAAUAAACUAUAGUACAGUGGAAACAUAACCUUUAUAUGCACAGAGCAACCAAAACAUUCAACUCACUUUAUUGUGAUACUCGCUUUAUUGCGGUGGUCUGGAACCAAACCUGCAGUAUCUCUGAUGUAUGCCUGCAUUUUGACUUACAAUAUUUCAACUUUGGAUGAGUGUAUUGGGAUGUAACCCAUGGUAGGUCAAGGAAAUUCUGUAAUGAUUCAGAAAGAUAUUCAUAAAAUGUUAAAUGUAACAAGUUACAACACUGUGUUUACAGUAUGAUGUUUUAAAAAAGUUACUAUAUAAAUAUUGGAUAGCUAUAUGCAAUAAUGUCAGCAGUUGGUGGUUUAUCUGUAAAAGGUGUGAUUCUGGCACAUUUUAAGCUUUCUGUUUGUGUUUUUGGUAUUUUAUAAAAUGAA